rnacentral:rRNA from 1 species
UCAGGUGACUAUAGCAUCAGGGUUCCACCUCUUCCCAUUCCGAACAGAGAAGUUAAGCCUGAUCACGCCGAUGGUACUGCGUAAC